UACGUAGGUGGCAAGCGUUGUCCGGAUUUAUUGGGCGUAAAGGGAGCGCAGGCGGUGACUUAAGUCUGAUGUGAAAGCCCACGGCUCAACCGUGGAGGGUCAUUGGAAACUGGGUCACUUGAGUACAGAAGAGGAAAGCGGAAUUCCAUGUGUAGCGGUGAAAUGCGUAGAUAUAUGGAGGAACACCAGUGGCGAAAGCGGCUUUCUGGUCUGAAACUGACGCUGAGGCUCGAAAGCGUGGGGAGCAAACAGGAUUAGAUACC
rnacentral:rRNA from 1 species